AGAGUUUGAUCCUGGUUCAGGAUGAACGCUGGCGGCGUGCUAACACAUGCAAGUCGAACGAGGUCCAACCUUCGGGUGAAGACCGAGUGGCGAACGGGUGAGUAACACGUGGGGAACCUGCCCUUCUCUCUGGGAUAACGUCGAGAAAUCGGUGCUAAUACCGGAUACUCCUUGCGGAUCGCAUGGUCUGCUCGGGAAGGCUCCGGCGGAGAGGGAUGGCCCCGCGGCCCAUUAGCUAGUUGGUGAGGUAAUGGCCCACCAAGGCGACGAUGGGUAGCCGAGCUGAGAGGCUGAUCGGCCACACUGGGACUGAGACACGGCCCAGACUCCUACGGGAGGCAGCAGUGGGGAAUUUUGCACAAUGGGCGAAAGCCUGAUGCAGCAACGCCGCGUGCGGGAUGAAGGCCCUCGGGUUGUAAACCGCUUUCAGCAGGGACGAAUAUGACGGUACCUGCAGAAGAAGCCCCGGCUAACUACGUGCCAGCAGCCGCGGUAAUAC
rnacentral:rRNA from 1 species